CCUACGGGUGGCAGCAGUGGGGAAUAUUGCGCAAUGGGCGAAAGCCUGACGCAGCGACGCCGCGUGAGGGAUGAAGGUCUUCGGAUCGUAAACCUCUGUCAGUAGGGAAGCACGGUCACUGUGCUAAUCAGCAGUGAAUUGACGGUAUCUGCAAAGGAAGCACCGGCUAACUCCGUGCCAGCAGCCGCGGUAAUACGGAGGGUGCGGGCGUUAAUCGGAAUUACUGGGCGUAAAGCGCUCGUAGGCGGUAUGUCAAGUCAAGGGUGAAAUCCCCGCGCUCAACGUGGGAACUGCCUUUGAGACUGGCAGACUGGAGUGUGUGAGAGGAUAGUGGAAUUCGAGGUGUAGGAGUGAAAUGCGUAGAUAUCUGGAGGAACAGCAGUGGCGAAGGCGAGUAUCUGGCACAUAACUGACGCUGAGGAGCGAAAGCGUGGGUAGCAAACAGGAUUAGAUACCCCAGUAGUC
rnacentral:rRNA from 1 species